CCUGGUGUUGCAAGUGGGUUAAUGCGCUCAGCUGCUAACUGAAAGGUUGGUGGUCUGAAUCCACCCAGCAGUG
rnacentral:tRNA from 1 species